GACGAACGCUGGCGGCGCGCCUACACAUGCAAGUCGAACGAGCGAGAGGAGGUUUACUUUCUCAAGCGCGUGGCGAACGGGUGAGUAACGCGUGAGGAACCUGCCCCAAAGAGGGGGACAACAGUUGGAAACGACUGCUAAUACCGCAUAAGCCCACGACCCGGCCUCGGGUAGAGGGAAAAGGAGCAAUCCGCUUUGAGAUGGCCUCGCGUCCGAUUAGCUAGUUGGUGAGGUAAUGGCCCACCAAGGCGACGAUCGGUAGCCGGACUGAGAGGUUGAACGGCCACAUUGGGACUGAGACACGGCCCAGACUCCUACGGGAGGCAGCAGUGGGGAAUAUUGCACAAUGGGGGAAACCCUGAUGCAGCGACGCCGCGUGGAGGAAGAAGGUCUUCGGAUUGUAAACUCCUGUUGUUGAGGAAGAUAAUGACGGUACUCAACAAGGAAGUGACGGCUAACUACGUG
rnacentral:rRNA from 1 species